rfam:Heterocephalus glaber contig3093, whole genome shotgun sequence.
GGACAUGAGGGUAAUCUGGCUGAGACAUCUCUCACCCCAUUGAUUGCCAGGGUUGAUUCAGCUCUUCUGGCUGGGGAGGCCAGGUGUCCCCUUCCUCCUCGCUGCUCCAUGUGUGGUCCCCUCCUGAAGCUGCAUGCUCAGUCGAAGAGGAUAACCACCCCCAGUAGAGGAAAACAGUUUCCUCAGUCAAGGGUGUAUGAGUAGCUGUGUUCCCCUGCCAGAACCUCCAAACAAGCUCUCAAAGUGAGAUCCUGAGUCCAAAAAGAACAAGAUUAAGAUGAACCAUAGGAUCUUUAACCCACAAGGAACUAACUUCUAUACAGUGGGAAUAAUGCUAACACCCACCCUGU